CCUAACCUCUCUGGGGACCUUCAUAUCCAAACACGGAUGAGGAGAGCCAGAAUUGUUCCUCCCCUAGCAAGUUGAGUGUGCUCCAGCAGCCGAGGCUCCCGAUGGCAUAUUAACCUCUAUGAGAUACGAGAUGAUUCGGGGUGGGAUCCCUCGGCUGGUCUGACUGGACAGACUGGGG
rnacentral:lncRNA from 1 species